rnacentral:rRNA from 1 species
GAUGAACGCUAGCGGGAGGCCUAACACAUGCAAGUCGAGCGGGAAUCUCUUUCGGGAGAUGAGAGCGGCGCACGGGUGAGUAACGCGUAUGCAACCUGCCCCACACAGGGGGAUAGCCCGGAGAAAUCCGGAUUAAUACCCCAUGAGAUUAUGAAGUCGCAUGAUUUUAUGAUCAAAGUUCCGGCGGUUUGGGAUGGGCAUGCGUGACAUUAGCUUGUUGGUGAGGUAACGGCUCACCAAGGCUGCGAUGUCUAGGGGUUCUGAGAGGAUGAUCCCCCACACUGGUACUGAGACACGGACCAGACUCCUACGGGAGGCAGCAGUGAGGAAUAUUGGUCAAUGGGCGCAAGCCUGAACCAGCCAUCCCGCGUGAAGGAAGACGGCCCUAUGGGUUGUAAACUUCUUUUGUACAUGAAGAACGUUUCUUACGAGUAAGAGAGUGACGGUAAUGUACGAAUAAGCAUCGGCUAACUCCGUG